GGGGCAGUGGCUCAGUUGGGAGAGCGCGUCCUUCGCACGGACGAGGUCGGGGGUUCGAAUCCCCUCUGCUCCACCA
rnacentral:tRNA from 3 species